GAAAUGUGAUACUUGGUGUGAAUUGCAGAAUCCCGUGAACCAUCCAAUUUUUGAACACAAGUUACGCCCGAAGCCAUUAGGCCAAGGGCACGUCUGCUUGGGUGUCACACAAUGUCGCCACUGCCCCUCCCCGGGGCACGGUAGAGGAUGCCUUCCCGGAAGCC
rnacentral:rRNA from 1 species